rnacentral:lncRNA from 10 species
UCCACCCUGAAACAUUUUGGGGCCUGUACUAGAUACUAGAGACACAAAGGAGACUAGAACAUUCUCUGUCGUUGAAUUAUUCUCAGUCAAAUGAAGACGGAAACUGUGGUCUGAAAAUUUUGAAUAAUAAAGCCAUUUGUGACAGCGACACAGCUCAUAUUGGAAGUGGAACUUACAUUUCCUGACUCAUAAUGAAGACCUUUAUGCUCAACACCACAUACAAAACAUGUGCGAUGUAUAAAAUGGGAUGUUGCAAAUUCAUCCCACCUCCUGCUGCAGCUAUGAUACUCAGAGAAAGUAAGUCUCCAAUGCUUGGGUAAAUAAAUCUAUUGCCUCUCAACCCUACC